GUUGACCAGUCGGGCCGAGAGUUGGUUUCGAACGAGCCGCCUCAGUGGAGAACCAUGGGAGAUCUUCCGCAAAGAGUUUUCAGAGUUUUUUUUGCCUCCCCGGUACUUUCAACGGCUAGAGGACGAGAUCCGAACCCAUUUUCAACGACCAAAAGAAGCGUUUAAAACGUACCUCGUGGACAUUCGACUAAUGAUGCAGCGCGCGGGAUACCCCGAAGCUCAGGAAUUGGAAAGGAUAUACGAUAACAUGCUCCCGGGAUACCAGUUGUUUACGAGGCGAAAAGAUUUUGAUUCUCACAGAGUCACAGAGAGAGAGAGAGAGAGAGAGAGAGAGAGAGAGAGAGAGUAAGAGUGUGGGCGGCCAGAACACCUGCCACUGAUAACAGCUUUUCCAUGGAGAGAGACACAGCGACAAUACUUUAUUUGGCCACCUGAAGGCUGCUCAUUUGAGUUUCAUACGUCUGUGGGACGAGCACGAGAAGAAGGUGGAACCAGGGAAAGUGAAAAGUGGAAAGUGAGUGCCCUGCUACACAAAAGAAAGAGGAGAAAGAAAGCAUUGGCAGAACCAGAACCAGAACCACAGCCAGAACGUGGCCUCAGAGUACUCGCAGAGUGGGCGAGGCGGACACAUGUUGUCAUGUUCACAAAUGCUAGGGAAUGGGAAUUGAAGAGCAGUCAACUGUUGCUGCUGCUGCUGUUGCUUCUGGGGGGCCUCAGUCACCUGGGGACAUGUCAAGAAAUAUGCCAGCCUGCUGUACACGGAAGACGUGUACCUAACGCUAGAGACCCCAGGCAGAGAUGUGGUCUACGGCUCGCAGAAUGCCUCUGAUAGCUACAUAAUUACGGCUCUGCAUGUGGAGGACCUCAGCCGCAGCCCCCCAAAUGCCAACGGGGUUGAUGGGGCCGAGGAAUCGGCACAUCUACAAGUGUCCGUUUAUGGGCUGGAGCUGUGAGGUGUAUCUGUGGGAUCGUAUCUUUUUAAGUGCGUGUGUGGGAGAGCGUGUAAAAGCUGUAAAUAUUAAUUACUAUAGAGGCGACACUUGGAUUGGCACUUACAUUGUCAAGUGUAAUAGUCACUUACAUAUGCAUAGUAUAUACAUAUAUAUAGUAUGUAUGUAUGUGUAGAAAAGUAACACUCUACUCUUAUCUUUAGGCUCUUUAAGUCUCCCCUCAAUUCGAGAGGAUUUUCAACUCAUUCGACAUCAAUUAAACUUUGUUUUUGCUAAUAAAAUACUUCCGCUUUGACAACAUACAUAUAUGUGGUGUGAGGACCCAUACUGGGAGCCUCACAUAGUAACAAGAGUUAAUUGAUUAAGAAGACAACCUGAAAAUAUAAGACAUCGCAAUGGAGCGAGAUUUGUAUCAGUAAAAAUCAUCUUCUAUGUUAGUAAAUAAGCUAGUUAAUUUUUGCAUAGCCGAAAUCCCGCCAAACGGCCAGCUCACACAGAAUAGCAGCAAAGAGAACAGCGAAGAGAGAGAGCCACGCUCAGCCGGCAACAGAGCAGAUCUCUUUCGAGAAAGUCCCGUUGGCCCGAAAACGAGCGCCAGGCGUGGUGAGAGCGUCGAGCGACCGUGGCGAGAGCGGGAGUCGAUUUUCGGAAGCGAGCAAAGACGGAACGCCGCGGAGUGACUAGAAAAGCAAGAAAAAGUGUUGAACGGCCGGGCGCCCGAGAAGUAGAGAAGAAUGGAAGAGCUGCAGGAGCACAGACGCCGGAUCCGCGGGUGAGCUGGCCGGUGGCCAAGGUAGUAGUAGAAGUAGCAGGGAGUGCGAGGGAAACCAUGCCAAUAAAACUUCGAUCAUAUGACUAA